AACGAACGCUGGCGGCAUGCCUAACACAUGCAAGUCGAACGAGACCUUCGGGUCUAGUGGCGCACGGGUGCGUAACGCGUGGGAACCUGCCCUUAGGUUCGGAAUAACUCCCCGAAAGGGGUGCUAAUACCGGAUAAUGUCUUCGGACCAAAGAUUUAUCGCCUUUGGAUGGGCCCGCGUUGGAUUAGCUAGUUGGUAGGGUAAAAGCCUACCAAGGCGACGAUCCAUAGCUGGUCUGAGAGGAUGAUCAGCCACACUGGGACUGAGACACGGCCCAGACUCCUACGGGAGGCAGCAGUGGGGAAUAUUGGACAAUGGGCGAAAGCCUAAUACAGCAAUGCCGCGUGAGUGAUGAAGGCCUUAGGGUUGUAAAGCUCUUUUACCCGGGAUGAUAAUGACAGUACCGGGAGAAUAAGCUCCGGCUAACUCCGUG
rnacentral:rRNA from 1 species